UUCAGGCUCGCUCACUCUCUCUUGUACCUGGCAUAUAUCUGGUCCACAGGAAAUGCUUAUGUAUGUAUUGUGCCAACAAAUUCUGGGAGUUUGGACUGAACCCUCUCAUCCUCCAUUCCUUUGACUUGUAGCCAGUGGCUAAGCAGCUUGCCUUUGGACCAUUACAUUUGCAGCAGAGUGGCAGACACCAGGUUCCAAGGCCUUGUAAUUGGGGAAUCAGUGCUCCUAAGUGUUCUGUUGAAGCCCUUUUCAUUAGUGUGAGUCUUAUGGGCCUCUCAUUUCACGUCUGUUUCAACUUCUCUGAUAAAUGACUGCCUGCCUGCCCCCUAGAGGACCCCAAAGCAAAUUUCAGUGCGUGUGUAUCCGGAUGAUACUCAUGUGACAACUGGCGACUGGGCCUGAUGGAUAACUUAGGUGACCUCUGGAGAGUACCUCCACUGUAACUAGAAAGUACUGUGCCCGUGUGGAAAACAUUGAGUCCUGGAGCAAAUGAUAAACUUCAAGCUUGAUGAAAAAACAACCAAAAGAUUUUAACCUGUGAAUAAACUGUGCCCAGUGAUUUGAGAGGCUGAUAGAGAGGGUAGAAACAGAAAAAGCUUUCAGUUUUGAAGAGCCAGAGAACAUAGUUUGAAACCACCACAGCUGCCAGAAAAUGGAAAAAGGAAUCUCAAGAAAGAAAAAGGAACAAACAGGAAGCUCUAAAUUUUGCCUAGAGAAACUUUGCCUAAAUAUCUGACUAAUCCCUCAAUCAUGUGUGAAUGGAAAAACUUCCAGGCUUUCAAGCAGAGGGCAAAAGAACUGAAUUGAAAUUUGAAUUAUCUCUUAAAAUACAGAAUUUACCAGUUGAGUUCAACAUAUUAAUUACUUAUUGAAAAACACAAGGAACCAAGUCUCCACAAUAGUGUUUAUGACAUAAUUAAAAAUUAUUUAACAUUUGAGAACCAGGAAGAUGUGAUCAAUUCUGAAGAGAGAAGACAGGCAAUGGAGGCAAUGAAGACUGACUUGCAAGGUGACCAAAAUGUUGGAACUAAAGAAGUAUUUUAAAGAAGUUUUUAUGACUAUCCUCAAUAAUGUAAAAGAAAAUUUGCUCAUAAUGCAUGAAAAUUUGCAACAUCUUAGAAGAUAAAUAAGAAUUUUUAAGAGAGAACCAAAA